UACCAUGGUCAUUGUGGGUAAACUCCUG
rnacentral:piRNA from 1 species